UACAGAGGUCUCAAGCGUUGUUCGGAUUCAUUGGGCGUAAAGGGUGCGUAGGUGGCGCGCUAAGUCAGGUGUGAAAUUUCGGAGCUUAACUCCGAAACUGCAUUUGAUACUGGCAUGCUUGAGGACUGGAGAGGAGACUGGAAUUUACGGUGUAGCGGUGAAAUGCGUAGAUAUCGUAAGGAAGACCAGUGGCGAAGGCGGGUCUCUGGACAGUUCCUGACGCUGAGGCACGAAGGUCAGGGGAGCAAACGGG
rnacentral:rRNA from 1 species